CUAGCUCUCUCUCUCCUCCUCCUCACCCCACCGGUUCUCUCUCUAUCCCCCAUUCUCUCUCUAACUCUCUCUCUCUCUCUCUCUCUCCUCCCCUACCUCUCUUCACCUCCACCCCCACCGAGAGAGGGAGGAGAGAGUGAGUUAGAGAGAGAAGGCUAGAGGCUGGUCGCACUACAAUAAAAACGGUCUAUAGCGACACUUUUAAAUAUAGGUGCAUGUCAAAAAAGUACUGCUAGCUAAAAUUACCGACACUUUUAAAAAGUGUUGCUAUAUGUGGGGUCGCUAGGUAUAUAGUGACAGUUAAAGAGUGUCGCUAUAACCUAAAAGAGUGCUGCUAAUUUACCAACACUUAUUUAAGCAUUUAGCAACUGCCGAAAUUCUAUCUCGUUGGCUGCGGUGGCUGAGGAGGACGACCGUAAAGGCUCUUCGUCUAGAAUUUCAGUGGAUUGAGUGAAGAGAGAAGAAAUGAUAGUAAUUGAUUUUUCUUUUUUUUUUCUUUUCCGUUUGUAAUCGGGCCAAAUGGACUGGGUGUGGUGGGUUGAGUAGAGUAAUCUUUUAUUUUUGGUUGGAUUGGGCUUUAUAUUUAGGCAUUAGUAGAUGUGUUUUUAAGUUUUAGCAUAAAUGGGACACUUACUCAAAAGUGUUCCAAACAUGUGUCCCUAUAACCUAAUUCUGUUGUAGUGUCGGGAUGGGGGUAGGGGUGGGGGUGGAGGUGAAGAUAGGCGGAGAGAGAGAGAGAGCUAGAGAGAGAACUGGUGGGGGAGAGGGGAGAGGGGAGAGGGUAGAGAGAGAGAGAGUUAGAGAGAGAGUUAGAGACAGAAAGG
rnacentral:lncRNA from 1 species